GACGAACGCUGGCGGCGUGCCUAAUACAUGCAAGUCGAACGCUUCUUUCCUCCCGAGUGCUUGCACUCAAUUGGAAAGAGGAGUGGCGGACGGGUGAGUAACACGUGGGUAACCUACCCAUCAGAGGGGGAUAACACUUGGAAACAGGUGCUAAUACCGCAUAACAGUUUAUGCCGCAUGGCAUAAGAGUGAAAGGCGCUUUCGGGUGUCGUUGAUGGAUGGACCCGCGGUGCAUUAGCUAGUUGGUGAGGUAACGGCUCACCAAGGCCACGAUGCAUAGCCGACCUGAGAGGGUGAUCGGCCACACUGGGACUGAGACACGGCCCAGACUCCUACGGGAGGCAGCAGUAGGGAAUCUUCGGCAAUGGACGAAAGUCUGACCGAGCAACGCCGCGUGAGUGAAGAGGGUUUUCGGAUCGUAAAACUCUGUUGUUAGAGAAGAACAAGGACGUUAGUAACUGAACGUCCCCUGACGGUAUCUAACCAGAAAGCCACGGCUAACUACGUG
rnacentral:rRNA from 1 species